rnacentral:rRNA from 1 species
AUGGCAGCAGCCGACGACUACGACACCGCGGUCGCGCUGGCCGAGUUCCAGGCGGCCCGUGCCGGCGUCCGCGGCCUCGUCGAGUCCGGCAUCACCUCCGUGCCGCCGCUCUUCCUCGCACCCGGCACAGGCAGCCCCUCCCCACCGCCAUUCGAGAAGGAGAUCCUCUUCACCAUCCCAAGCGUUGACCUCGCAGUCCCGCCCUCAUCCAGCCUGCCGCUCAUCCGCGCCGCCGCGCGCUCGUGCGGCUUCUUCCAUGUCACCAACCACGGCGUCGACGCCGCCGCCGUCGACUCCGCGGUGUCCGCCGUCCGGGCCUUCCACGAGCUGCCCCUCACCGUCCGUUCGGCGUUCUACACGCCCGCGUCCGUCGGGAGCGUCACCUACUCCACCAUCCCCAUCCAGCCCGGCAAAAAUUCCGCCGGUCCUCUCCUCCCCUGGCGCGACACGCUCCAGGUCCGCUUCGGCCCCCCUCCGGCGCCCGACCUCGCCCAUCUGCCGCCGGCUUGCCGGGACGCGCUGCUCAAGUACCAGCUGCUCAUGACGGAGCUCAGGAAGAAGAUGGCCGGGCUGCUGUCGGAGGCGCUCGGCGUCGGCGCGGGGCGGCUGGAGAGGGCGAUGCAGGUGGAAGGCGUGCUGAUGGCGUGCCACUAUUACCCGCCGUGCCCGGAGCACACAGACCCCAGCCUCUUCACCGUCCUGGCACAAGACGGCGUCGGAGGGCUUCAGGUGCGCCUCCACGACGGACGGUGGGCCGACGUGCCGCCGGUGCCCGGCGCGCUUCUGGUCAACAUCGGGGACGUGCUCAAGGUGGUUUCAAAUGAUGAGUACGCGAGCGUGGAGCACAGGGUGGUGAUCAGGUCUGGUCAAGAUGCCAGGGUGUCCAUUGCACUCUUCUUUAAUCCUGCGAAGCGCCAGGAAUCCGACUUGUUUGGGCCCCUCCCGGAGCUCUUGACGGCGGGAAAGCAGCAGCGUUACCGGGCUUUCACCGUCACUGAGUUCAUGAACUCCCGGAGAGAGCAUGGCCAUGGCACCAACUCAAUCGACCGGUUCAGGAUUGCACAUGAAUAA